CAGCGCCACGGUAAUACGUAGGUGGCGAGCGUUGUCCGGAAUUAUUGGGCGUAAAGGGAGCGCAGGCGGACAUAUAAGUCCAUCUUAAAAGUGCGGGGCUCAACCCCGUGAGGGGAUGGAAACUGUAUGCCUUGAGUGCAGGAGAGGAAAGCGGAAUUCCCAGUGUAGCGGUGAAAUGCGUAGAUAUUGGGAGGAACACCAGUGGCGAAGGCGGCUUUUUGGCCUGUAACUGACACUGAGGCGCGAAAGCGUGGGGAGCAAACAGGAUUAGAUACCCCAGUAGUCCCUGUCUCUUAUACAC
rnacentral:rRNA from 1 species